UCUUAAUCAUUCUUGGUUUCAGUUGGUAUGUGGCUUGCAUAACAUGUGUUUCUUUGAAAAUUGCAUUGUAUCACUAUUUGUCACGCAUCUCGACGUUGGUGGCUAGCUGGUGGGUUGUCAUGUGUGAACUAUGACGUGGGCCUAUGUAAGGGGGCUGAUCAUGUGGCCUAUGUAAGGGGGAUACCUCGUGUCUGUGUAGGGGGGCCAGAGGGGUUCGGACAUGACAACAUCCUGGCAUGGUUUCCAUAGAAGGGAAGGAUUUCAUGACAUACUUGCAUACACACGCAUGUAUUUUCUUUCUUGAACCAUUUCACUUAGAUUUCAUUAUUUAAUUUAGAUGUUUCAUACCUUGGGAUAUUCAAUGUGCCAAGUACCCUGAAGACAUGUAAGAGGAAAGGCAAAGCGGUAGUCGAAGUUUAGUUUGAUUUUUUGUUGUUCAUGUACUAUGAUCUUGUAUAAAGAGAAGAUAAUGUAACCUUUGGGCUUUUUGUUAUUUUCAUUAAUAUUAGACGGAUAUGGGUCUAUCUUUAUUGUGUGUCAUACAAGUAGUCAUUAUGUAUAAAUCCCUAAUGAUGCGCGACAGAUGCUAUAUAAGGAAGUUGCGAUAGUACUAAAAGUUAUUUGUUGGAUCUUUGGAAUUUAUGUUUCACAGUUGUAUAAAUGGAGGUUUAUUUGUUAAGGGACGUAUGAUACUAUUGUACUUGUGUUAAAGAUUUUAUAGCGGAAAUCUUUAUUAUCUAGCUUUAGUUAGCUAUCAGGUUCGAUCCUUCGCUUCUGUUGGUACGGAUUUUCAUAACACCCAUGUGUGAUCUUAACUUGUAUUUAACAUCAUUGUAUAUUUGAAAAGUGAGGCGUUACAAUUGAUACCAACUGCAAUGCCUUGUAUCUUAGAUAUGCUAAGAUACUAAAGUCAAGCUAUUUACAACACAUGGGCGUUAUUGGAAAUCCUUCAUUAGCAGAAGUAAGGAUCGAACUUGAGUAGCUAAACGGUUAGGAUUUUCGCUAGUUCAAUAUAAUUCAAACCUGUCAUAUACCAAAAUAUCCAAAAACAUUCUACAAAACCAUAAUAGUCUUACAAAUACGUGAAUUUUAGUGAUACAACUGUAAGAACGCACACAUACAUUGUACAUCUUUAAGUAUCAUAGCCAUUAUUUGCAAUCCAACAUUUGAAACACAAGUUUAUACAACAUUCUUACAAAACUUAAAACUAUAUUUCUAUCACUUCCUUGCCUUUGCUGGACCUUGCACCUAGAGUGCUUGACACGUUUGAUAUAUCUGGGACGUUGAAUAUCUCAGGAGUAUAAAACACCCAAGUUAGAUAAUUACAUCUAAGUGAGAUGGUUCAGGAAAGAAAUUUUUUAUGAAUACAAAUACAAUAAAUGCAGGUAUGUAAUCUCCCCUUUGUGGAAGUCAUGUCAGGAUGUUGCAAUCAUCCCCACACACAUCAUGUCCAACUCCAUAACCCCACCGCAUCGGGCUUGUGACCCCACAAGAUUGCACAUGAUGACUAUCAGCUUGCCACAACUCCAUAAGACAUGAUGCAUGGACAAAUGGAAACAAUAUGCUUUGCCAAAGUAAUACAUGAUAUGCAAGCACAAUCCACGCACAAAUGAAAUAACAUAUGAUCAAGACGAAGAAAAGUAUGGGAGAACCACUCACUCUUUAAGUUUCACUUGACAUAGUAUUGUUCACGACUCACCGGGACUGAUUUUUUGCAAAAACACGAAUUUUCAUAAAUCAAACACUUAAUAUUUUUUACAUAGGGAUGUGCUAAUUGAAGUAAGGAAGGAAACUGGCCUCACGUGCCGCCGGAAGGGCGACCAUGCGCAGCCCCUUGCCGGUGCAUGAGGUGCUGUGUCACGCUUAAAACUUCGGGCAACUUUCAUUUUUCGGCCUUUUCUCCUCCGUUUUAGAUCCGAUUCGACUUCUAUUUUUUUCUAUAGCUCCCUCUCUCUAUUCUCUACGAGAAUAUAAACUUAGAUUGAGCUUACCUUGCAGUUUCGGUAGGUUUGGCGCGCUUUUCAAUGAAGACCUGAAAAUUCUGGCAAAGCGGUUUUCACCUUUGAUUUUGGUAGUCUCCUCUUUUUUUUUCCAGAAUACUUCUCUCAGAAAUUCUCUCUCAAAGUAUCCUCGCUUCCCUCAUUUUCAAAUGCUUUAAAACCUUUCCUCCAAAGCCUUUAUUUAUAUAACUCCCUAGCAAAUCAUCUUGUGCCAUGUGUUGCCUCGAGAUUUGAGCCUAUCAUUGCUUUCGGCACUUGUUAAGCCACUUGGGCCUUUGGGAUGCGUGCACAACCAAUAGUUUUUUGCCACGUUAGGGGCUAUUUAUGAGGUUUCAUCAUGACUUUUUAAAUAGCCAAUAGUUUUAUAACACUUAAGCACCCUUAUUAUGACUUCACAUGUGCAAUGAAUCAAAAGCUUCCAAAUAUGCACCCUUAUCAUGACUUCCCAUGUGUAACCAAUCAAAAGCUUCCCAAUAUUAUGCCAACUCACGCCUUGGUUUGUGUGCCUAAUCAUUACCUUUCAAAUGGCCAAUAGCUUGAUGCCAAGUGUCCCACCAAUUUGCAUGCCAACUUGCACCUUGGAUUAUGUGACUUAUCUUUAACUAACUAUUCAUUCUUCCAGUUCGUUACUCUAUUGGUCUAGUUUUGUGGUUUCAAGAAUUACAUAUUGAUCCAAGCUUUUCGGGUAACUACACUUAGACCUCUUGCCACUUGGUCCCUGACAGUGUUAUUAAAGGCGCAAGGCGCACUAAGGCGCACAAGGGCCUUGGAGCCUGAGGCGCAAGGCGCAAGGUGAGGCGCGAGCUUGGUGGAACUAGGCGCAAAUUAAUAAAAAAAAAUAAAAAAUAUAUAUAUGUCCUAGUUAAAGAAAAAUGUAUAAAAUAAGUCUUAACUUCUAAUAAUAUUUUAACAAGCAUGUUAUAAAAAAAAUAAAAAAUUCAACAUAUGCCCCCUAGAGAAAGGAUUUAUUACGUCAAUACCCUAGGAUUCUAACCAAUUACACUUGUGCCUUGUGUUUUCUUUAAACUGUUCCUCACCUUGAUAUGACGUGGCCUAGGAAAGUUACCUAGGUUAGCUAAAAUUUACUUUUUGAAAAAUUGGCAUAUAAUUGAUGCUCCCCAUUGUAUCCCCAAAACAAUCCUUAACUAUUGCUCAUGUUCUUCCUGCCUUUCGAAUAAAUCAUAAUAAACACAAUCAUAAACUAAUCCAAGCAUAAUUUUAACACCUUAUUCAUCAGAUCCAUAAUGGUCACAGGAGCGUUAGUUAACUCAAAUGGCAUCAGUAAGUAUUCGUAAUGUCUAUACCAAGAUCUAAAACAGUCUUUGCCACAUUCUCGUUUUUAUUUCUCAAUUUAUAAUAUCCUCAAUCUCAAAUCAAUCUUUGAAAAUAAUUUAGCACCCUACAAUUGAUCAAAUAAUUUGCCGAUUCUAGGGAGCGGUUAUUUAUUUUUAAUGGUCACCUGAUUCAUUGGCGGUAGUCUCAAGCUCCCACCCUUUUUUCUUUUCAAAUGAUGUAAUACCCAAGAAUUUUAUAAAUAUAUGCACUUGAAAUUAUUUCGAAGGUUGUGAAAUACAUUGGGGUGGAAGUGCAGUUUUCGAGAAACUUUGGGAGUAAAUGCAAUUAACUAGAAGUAUUGGGGGACGAUUUGCAAUAUAUAUCUUUCCUAGGGAUGUUUGGGAAAUUCAAGGAUAGUCCAGGGACCUAAAUGAUAUGGAUUUUAAAUCUCAUUCAAAUUUAGCUUUGGAUUUCAAAUGAUAUCCCAAUCUAAUUUGAGACAACUGGUGAGUCAUGAUAAGGGUGCAAAUUUGGAAGCUUUUGAUUGGUUGCACAUGGGAAGUCAUGAUAAGGGUGCAUAUUUGGAAGCUUUUGAUUCAUUGCACAUGGAAAGUCAUAAUGAGGGUGCUUAGGUGUCAUAAAACUAUUGGCCAUUUGAAAAAGUCAUGAUGAAACCUCAUAAAUAACCCCCAACGUGGCAAAAAACUAUUGGCCGUGCACAUAUCCCAAAGGCCCAAGUGGCUUAACAGGUGGCGAAAGCAAUGUAGGGUUCAAAUCUCGAGAGACAUGUGGCACAAGAUGAUUCGCCGGGGAGUUUUAUAAAUAAUGGCUUUGGGGGAAAGGUUUUAAAGCAUUCGAAAAGAGGAAGGUGGGGAAUUUCUGAGAGAAGUAUUCUGGAAAAAAAAAAAGAGGAGACUGCCAAAAUUAAAGGUGAAAACCGUUUUGCUGGAAUUUUCGGGUCUUCACCUAAAAGCACACCAAACUUGCCAAAACUGCGAGGGAAGCUCAAUCUAAGUUUAUAUUCUCAUAGAGAAUAGAGAUAGAGAGCUAUAGGAAAAAAUGGAAGUCGAAUUAGAGCUAAAAUGGAGGAGAAAAGGCCGAAAAAUGGAAGCUACCCAAAGUUUAAGGGUGGCACGUGCACCUCACGCAUUAGUAAGGGGCUGCGUGUGUGCGUGCGUGAGGCCUUGUUUUUCCCUACAAAUUUUUAGUUUUCUUCCUUACUUCAAUGAGCACGUCCAUAUGUAAAAAUAUUGAGUGUUUGAUUUACGAAAAUUCGUGUUGUGGCAGAAAAUCAGUCCCGGUGAGUCAUGAGGAUUACUGUGUUAGGUGAAACUUGAAUGUGAGUGGUUCUUGCACAUUUUUGUUACAUCUUGGAUGUUCUUGACUUCAUUUGUGUGUGGUUUGUGGCUUACAUCUCAUGUUCCUUUAUUCCGAGCAUAUUCUUUCUAUUUUCCAUGUAUCAUAACAUUUGUGGUUGUGGCAAGCUUGUGGGCUAAUGUGUGUGGUCGGGGACUAUGUGGUCGGGCGGUGGGUCGAGGUGUGUGGACAUGUUGGCGCGAGGGUGAUUGGAACACCCUGGCUAGGGCUUCCACAAAGGAGAAGGAUUUCAUGACAUUUGGCAUACUUGCAUACACACGUAUAUCCGACAUGCCAGGUACCCCAAGUUCAAGUUCAAGUUCAAGAAAAGGCAAAGAGGUGGUAGACGUUUAGACUUUAUAUUUUUCAAAAUUGUUGUAAGAGUUGUAAUUUAAAUAUUGUAUUGUAAAUAGCAGCUAAGUUACCUGAAUCAAAGUAUGUACAAGGCUUUUAUAUUAUGGUUGUAUUGUAAGCUA